UUCUUCACUGCAAGCUCCCUGCCUGCUACGUGUUCGACGGAAUGCUAAAUCGAACAUGUCAAAAAUGCAUCACGUCCCCGCUGGAUGAAAGUACCGACCCAAUUGAAAAAAGUGGACAUGGACGAGCGGACGGACAACCCAAACUGAAAAAAAAGGGACAAAAUUGAUGUUCGUUUAGGUUGUUGCGUUGGAGUUGCUCUUAUGAUUGACAGAGACUUUAUGCAUCUACUUGUUACCGUUCAAAAGUUUACGAAGCAGAGGAUAACAUAAAGAGUCGGAUGUUUAUGUAGUACAUAAC
rnacentral:lncRNA from 1 species